rnacentral:lncRNA from 1 species
UUUCAAGCUAAGUUUAUUGGUUGAGACUUUGGUGGUUUCUUUUCAAACUUGAUACAUGCAUGAUACACAAAUGUAUACUAGCUUUCAAUUUUAAACUACUGCUUUCAAUUUUAAAAUUAAAUAAAUAAUAAAACCCAAAUUAGAUCAAAACAAGUCUAAUAUUUAUGGAAAGGCAUAAUGAAAAACAAAUCAUGUCCAUUCUCUUUCAAAUAAGCUCUAAAUUGAUGGCCNNNNN